UCCAACAGAGAGAAUGAGUGACCCAGGAAA
rnacentral:piRNA from 1 species